GUGUCCAAUGAAAGGUCAGCACUCGCCUUGACGAGGAUGGCAGAGACCCAGGGGCCUUACAACACACCUACGGUUAAGGCUUCUCUCCAGCCCGGGCUCCUU
rnacentral:ncRNA from 1 species